UUCUACGGGAGGCAGCAGUAGGGAAUAUUGCACAAUGGAGGAAACUCUGAUGCAGCGACGCCGCGUGAGUGACGAAGGCCUUCGGGUUGUAAAGCUCUGUUCUCAGGAAAAAGAAAGUGAUUGUACCUGAGGAGAAAGGACCGGCUAACUUCGUGCCAGCAGCCGCGGUAAGACGAGGGGUCCAAGCGUUGUUCGGAAUCAUUGGGCGUAAAGCGGGUGUAGGCGGCUCCAUAAGUCAGGAGUGAAAGCCCCGGGCUUAACUCGGGAAGUGCUUUUGAUACUGUGGAGCUUGAAUGUGGGAGAGGAUAGUAGAAUUCCAGGUGUAGUGGUGAAAUACGUAGAUAUCUGGAGGAAUACCGGUGGCGAAGGCGGCUAUCUGGCCCAACAUUGACGCUGAGACCCGAAAGCGUGGGGAUCAAACAGGAUUAGAUACCCUGGUAGUCCACGCCGUAAACGAUGGAUACUUGGUGUUGGAGGUAUUGACCCCUUCAGUGCCGAAGCUAACGCGUUAAGUAUCCCGCCUGGGGAGUACGGCCGCAAGGUUAAAACUCAAAUGAAUUGACGGA
rnacentral:rRNA from 1 species